AGAGUUUGAUCAUGGCUCAGGAUGAACGCUAGCUACAGGCUUAACACAUGCAAGUCGAGGGGCAGCAUGAACUUAGCUUGCUAAGUUUGAUGGCGACCGGCGCACGGGUGAGUAACACGUAUCCAACCUGCCGAUGACUCGGGGAUAGCCUUUCGAAAGAAAGAUUAAUACCCGAUGGCAUAGUUCUUCCGCAUGGUAGAACUAUUAAAGAAUUUCGGUCAUCGAUGGGGAUGCGUUCCAUUAGGUUGUUGGCGGGGUAACGGCCCACCAAGCCUUCGAUGGAUAGGGGUUCUGAGAGGAGGUCCCCCANAUUGGAACUGAGACACGGUCCAAACGUCCUACGGGAGGCA
rnacentral:rRNA from 1 species